AAUCAUCGCUUUCCAUUUUCGAUUUCAGCUGAGCCAUCGUUCAGAAAAAGGAUCGUCGCCAUGUCGAAGAAACGAGGACUUUCGAUGGAAGAAAAGAGGGAGAAAAUUCUCCAGAUAUUUUAUGAAUCCCAAAGCUUCUUCCUCCUUAAGGAGCUUGAAAAAUUGGGCCCCAAGAAAGGGGUAAUUACCCAAUCUGUUAAAGAUGUUGUGCAAAGUUUAGUGGAUGAUGACCUCGUUUCAAAGGACAAAAUUGGAACAUCCUUAUACUUUUGGAGCCUUCCAAGCUGUGCUGGAAAUCAGUUGAGGAAUGUGCAUCGGAAACUCGAAUCAGAUCUCCAAAGCAGUAAGAAGAAGUUGUCAGAACUUGUUGAUCAAUGUAAUGAACUAAAGAAGGGGCGUGAAGAAUCUGAUGAAAGAGAGGAGGCCUUGGCUGAAUUAAAAGCAAUAGAAUUGAAAUAUAAUGAGCUUAAGGAGGAGAUGGGACAGUAUGCAGAUAAUGAUCCAGCUGCAUUUGAAGCAAUGAAGAAAGCAAUUGAGGUUGCCCAUGGAGCAGCUAACAGAUGGACAGACAACAUCUUCACUCUGCGGCAGUGGUGCUCAAACAACUUUCCUGAAGCCAAAGAGCAGCUCGAACAUAUGUACAAGGAGGUAGGAAUUACAGAUGAUUUCGACUAUGUGGAAUUAGCACCAGCCAUUCCACUCCGUGCGGUUGGUGAUCAGAUGCUAGAAGGAUCCGUAAGUGAUACCAUGUAGACUAUCUUUCUCUUAACUAUCAUCUUUUCCCCAACCUUAAGAAAUGCUGUCUUGAUCAAAUGUUCAAACCAUAAUAGUGGCCAAGGUGAAAAUAGGUUCAUCUAAGGCUUAAUUGGUGUAAAAUGACUUGAAGUUGAUCAUAAAAAUAGAGCAUCACUUGUUCAAUUCCGGGUUUGGCUUUGUAGAAACAAGAAAAUUCCUUGAUGAUUUACUCAUUUUAGACUAAAUUGCUUCUCGAUUUUCAGAAUGUGUUCGUUUUCUUAGUUUUCAUUUUUCUGUACAAGAACAAGGACUUUGCACCUUAAUCUUUCAUUAAGAAGGAAAUAGUUAUUAAAUUAAAACCAAAUUGCUAUAAAAAUUCAUUAUUUAUAAAAGUUGAUGAAUAGAUUUAUCAACUUGCAAUUUGGUGUGUGUAUCAUCAAACGCAUAGGUCCAAUGCAUAUGCCAAUAGAUGCAGUGAAUGUACAGCCAAAAUUGUGGUGGCAUGUAUUGUUGGGGGUCCUUUCCAUCGCACGUUGAUUUGGCAGGUCAAACUCCAAAGCAAGGGCAGAAAUCAAAAUCCUCUUUGAACUUUGAAAACCACAAAUGACAUAAUACAUCGAUGGAAACAAAUAUUCUACCCAAACUAAGCAAUACCUGGAGUCUGAACGUGCAGUCAUCAUUUAUCGUACACGUGGCACCAAUCAACAACGAAAAGGGGGGGGGGGGUGUGGGGUUCACGGCCUUGUUAAUUGUCUCACGGCAUUGGCAGCCAGAGUGGCCGUUUCUUCGUAAAGAUUGUCAGUUUCUGGCCUCUUUUUAAACCCCUCCGCCCAAACCCAAAGUCUAAAGUUUCAAAGCGGCGGUUAUCAAAAGUUCGACAGAAGAAACGAACCCAAGAAAGAAAAAAAGGCUAGGAUUGUAGCUUGAAGAUAGGAUGGAGAUGUUAAGGGUUCGGGUUGCAGUAAUGGUUAUUUUUGCACUUGUAUUGGCCCUGGUUGUACCUUCCUUCAAUGCCCAAAGCCCUUCUCCUGCACCUCCUCCUACAAGCGAUGGGGUAACAGUUGAUCAGGGGAUUGCCUAUGUUUUAAUGCUGUUAGCUUUGGUGCUGACGUAUAUCAUUCACUGACAUCAUGUCGAGACAGAGAACGACCAGAUGGAAAAUAAUUCGUAAUUGAGCCAUGAUAAUUUACUCAUUAUUCAAACUCAUUCUUUUCUAUCCAAAAUUUUGUUUUCUUCUUCAUCUUCACUUGCUAGCUUGUAAUUUUAAUCUCUGUUUCUUUGCAAAUUGCCAACUUGUUUCUUCACUAUUUCCUCUAAAAAUGAAAAUUGCAUGUGGGUAGCAUGACGCAAAAGGUCUGCUCCUUCUCUUAAAAUUUAAAAGCUCCCACCAAAACCAUCUAAAGAAUCCCCACCACGCUGAAGUCUCUCCCGCUUAUACCCGACUAAAAUAUAAAGGAAACCCCCUAACUCACUCCAAAAUGGCAACGUUCGAUUAGACUUUGGCGUUGAAAGAUUAGAUAAUGCUAAUCUUUUUAUGCUAAACUAUACUCCACUACAAUCUAAUUGCUCUUUAACUUCUUUUUUUUUUUUUGUAUGUUUUAGAUGGAAGAAAGAAAAGGAUGCAUUGGUCGAAUUCAACAAGUUAUUAAUUUUAAUAAGGAGGAGGUCGAAGUGACGGCCACAUAGCACUGAACAAGUGUCAAUGUCACCACGUUUUAUUCAGCCGAAAGAAACAAGGGUCCGCGCAUUUUGCCCUAGUUUUCCUAUUGCAAUAGUUCAAUUGUCACAUUUGCCCUCAAUUACCUGCACCGGUAUAUGACCAACACGCCUCGCAAAACCACCCUAAUCACGCCACGACUCAUUAUUGCAUGAAAUAGAGAAAAUAAUU